UUUUAGGUAGUUAAUUUUAUAAUAUAGUAGUGUGAAUACUAAGUUAAUUUUUUAAUUUUUUAAUUAGUAAAUAG
rnacentral:tRNA from 1 species